UUCCGGUUGAUCCCGCCGGACCCGACUGCUAUCAGAGUGGGACUAAGCCAUGCGAGUCAACGCCGCAAGGCGUGGCAUACGGCUCAGUAACACGUAGUCAACAUGCCCAGGGGACGUGGAUAACCUCGGGAAACUGAGGAUAAACCGCGAUAGGCCAAGAUUUCUGGAAUGGAUCAUGGCUGAAAUCUACAUGGCCCCUGGAUUGGACUGCGGCCGAUCAGGCUGUUGGUGAGGUAAUGGCCCACCAAACCUGUAACCGGUACGGGCUCUGAGAGGAGGAGCCCGGAGAUGGGCACUUAGACAAGGGCCCAGGCCCUAUGGGGCGCAGCAGGCGCGAAACCUCUGCAAUAAGCGAAAGCUUGACAGGGUUACUCUGAGUGAUGCCCGCUAAGGGCAUCUUUUGGCACCUCUAAAAAUGGUGCAGAAUAAGGGGUGGGCAAGCCUGGUGUCAGCCGCCGCGGUAAUACCAGCACCCCGAGUGGUCGGGAUGAUUAUUUGGCCUAAAGCAUCCGUAGCCGGCGCUUCAAGUCUUCCGUUAAAUCCACCUGCUCAACGGAUGGGCUGCGGGAGAUACUGCUGCGCUAGGAGGCGGGAGAGGCG
rnacentral:rRNA from 1 species